GACGAACGCUGGCGGCGUGCUUAACACAUGCCAGUCGAACGGGAUUUAGUAAACAGAAGCCUCGGUGGAAGAUUACUAAUGAGAGUGGCGAACGGGUGAGUAACGCGUGAGCAACCUGCCUAUGACAGUGGGAUAGCCUCGGGAAGCCGGGAUUAAUACCGCAUAAAAUCGUAGAAACACAUGUUUUAACGGUCAAAGAUUUAUCGGUCAUAGAUGGGCUCGCGUCUGAUUAGCUAGUUGGUGAGAUAACAGCCCACCAAGGCGACGAUCAGUAGCCGGUCUGAGAGGAUGAACGGCCACAGUGGAACUGAGACACGGUCCAAACUCCUACGGGAGGCAGCAGUGGGGAAUAUUGCACAAUGGGGGAAACCCUGAUGCAGCGACGCCGCGUGAACGAAGAAGGUAUUCGUAUCGUAAAGUUCUGUCCUAUGGGAAGAUAAUGACAGUACCAUAGAAGAAAGCUCCGGCUAAAUACGUG
rnacentral:rRNA from 1 species